CCUACGGGAGGCAGCAGUGGGGAAUAUUGCACAAUGGGCGAAAGCCUGAUGCAGCAACGCCGCGUGAAGGAAGACGGUUUUCGGAUUGUAAACUUCUAUCAAUAGGGAAGAAAGAAAUGACGGUACCUAAAUAAGAAGCCCCGGCUAACUACGUGCCAGCAGCCGCGGUAAUACGUAGGUGGCAAGCGUUGUCCGGAAUUACUGGGUGUAAAGGGAGCGCAGGCGGGAAGCCAAGUCAGCUGUGAAAACUACGGGCUUAACUUGUAGACUGCAGUUGAAACUGGUUUUCUUGAGUGAAGUAGAGGUUGGCGGAAUUCCGGGUGUAGCGGUGAAAUGCGUAGAUAUUCGGAGGAACACCGGUGGCGAAGGCGGCCAACUGGGCUUUAACUGACGCUGAGGCUCGAAAGUGUGGGGAGCAAACAGGAUUAGAUACCCGGGUAGUC
rnacentral:rRNA from 1 species